GUAGGUGGCAAGCGUUGUCCGGAUNUACUGGGUGUAAAGGGCGUGUAGGCGGGUAGACAAGUCAGAUGUGAAAUACCGGGGCUCAACUCCGGGGCUGCAUNUGAAACUGUAUAUCUUGAGUGUCGGAGAGGAAAGCGGAAUUCCUAGUGUAGCGGUGAAAUGCGUAGAUAUUAGGAGGAACACCAGUGGCGAAGGCGGCUUUCUGGACGAUAACUGACGCUGAGGCGCGAAAGCGUGGGGAGCAAACAGGAUUAGAUACCCUGGUAGUCCACGCCGUAAACGAUGGAUACUAGGUGUAGGAGGUAUCGACCCCUUCUGUGCCGCAGUUAACACAAUAAGUAUCCCACCUGGGGAGU
rnacentral:rRNA from 1 species